UCGCUUGAACCCAGGAGGUAGAGGUUGCAGUGAGCCAGGACUGCGCCACCACACUCCAGCCUGGGCGACAGAGCUGUCGGCAAGCUGAGGAGCAAAGAUGCCAGUCCAAGUCCCAAAGCUGAAGAACUUGGAUUCCAAUGUCGAGGUCAGGAAGCAUCCAGCAGGGGAAAACGUGAGCUGUGAUUCCCCCUGAAGGAUCCCAGACUCCAUUCCCAAGCACUUUCUCCAGUGCCAGCAAAGUCCUCAUUGGUGGCAACAGGAAUACAGUCUGCACUUGCAGCCCUGGCAGGCAGCCAGCACCGUCAGUGGAAAACUUUAAGACGCUGGGGCAUCUUAGAGCAUCCACAGUGGGUGCUGUCGGCUGCACACUGCCUCCAGAAAUGCUGUGAUUGCCAUCCAGUCCCAGACUGUGGGAGGCUGGGAGUGUGAGAAGCUUUCCCAACCCUGGCAGGGUUGUACCAUUUCGGCAACUUCCAGUGCAAGGACGUCCUGCUGCAUCCUCACUGGGUGCUCACUACUGCUCACUGCAUCACCCGGAACACUGUGAUCAACUAGCCAGCACCAUAGUUCUCCGAAGUCAGACUAUCAUGAUUACUGUGUUGACUGUGCUGUCUAUUGUACUAACCAUGCCGAUGUUUAGGUGAAAUUAGCGUCACUUGGCCUCAACCAUCUUGGUAUCCAGUUAUCCUCACUGAAUUGAGAUUUCCUGCUUCAGUGUCAGCCAUUCCCACAUAAUUUCUGACCUACAGAGGUGAGGGAUCAUAUAGCUCUUCAAGGAUGCUGGUACUCCCCUCACAAAUUCAUUUCUCCUGUUGUAGUGAAAGGUGCGCCCUCUGGAGCCUCCCAGGGUGGGUGUGCAGGUCACAAUGAUGAAUGUAUGAUCGUGUUCCCAUUACCCAAAGCCUUUAAAUCCCUCAUGCUCAGUACACCAGGGCAGGUCUAGCAUUUCUUCAUUUAGUGUAUGCUGUCCAUUCAUGCAACCACCUCAGGACUCCUGGAUUCUCUGCCUAGUUGAGCUCCUGCAUGCUGCCUCCUUGGGGAGGUGAGGGAGAGGGCCCAUGGUUCAAUGGGAUCUGUGCAGUUGUAACACAUUAGGUGCUUAAUAAACAGAAGCUGUGAUGUUAA
rnacentral:lncRNA from 10 species